rnacentral:rRNA from 1 species
GAGUUUGAUCCUGGCUCAGGAUGAACGCUGGCGGCGUGCCUAAUACAUGCAAGUCGAGCGAACAGAUAAGGAGCUUGCUCCUUUGACGUUAGCGGCGGACGGGUGAGUAACACGUGGGUAACCUACCUAUAAGACUGGAAUAACUCCGGGAAACCGGGGCUAAUGCCGGAUAACAUUUAGAACCGCAUGGUUCUAAAGUGAAAGAUGGUUUUGCUAUCACUUAUAGAUGGACCCGCGCCGUAUUAGCUAGUUGGUAAGGUAACGGCUUACCAAGGCAACGAUACGUAGCCGACCUGAGAGGGUGAUCGGCCACACUGGAACUGAGACACGGUCCAGACUCCUACGGGAGGCAGCAGUAGGGAAUCUUCCGCAAUGGGCGAAAGCCUGACGGAGCAACGCCGCGUGAGUGAUGAAGGUCUUCGGAUCGUAAAACUCUGUUAUUAGGGAAGAACAAAUGUGUAAGUAACUGGCACGUCUUGCGGUACCUAAUCAGAAAGCCACGGCUAACUACGUGCCAGCAGCCGCGGUAAUACGUAAGGUGGCAAGCGGUAUCGGAAUUAUUGGGCCGUAAGCGCGCGGAGGCGGUUCUUAAGUCUGAUGGAAAGCCCACGCUUCAACCGCGGAGGGCAUUGGAACUGGAAACUUGAUGC